UGGUGUGCGAAUAUUUGGACAAUGGGCGGAAGCCUGAUCCAGCCAUGCCGCGUGUGUGAAGAAGGCCUUUUGGUUGUAAAGCACUUUAAGCGAGGAGGAGGCUACUAGUAUUAAUACUACUGGAUAGUGGACGUUACUCGCAGAAUAAGCACCGGCUAACUCUGUGCCAGCAGCCGCGGUAAUAA
rnacentral:rRNA from 1 species